CGGCUGCAGGCAGGAGCAGGCCUGAAACCCGACUUCCCAAGGAUGGCCUUCACCACCCCAGCUCCUCACCAGAGCAGAGCCUCCAUGUGGAACUCAGCGGCUUCUCAAGUCCCUUGAGGUCACAGAUUGUCACUGGUCAACUCCUUCAUCAGUGCUCAGGACACCAGUGACCCUGUCCUAUACGAAUGGGGCCACCCAGUGCGGAUGUAGCCUGAAGGAAACCCUUGUCCUGUGCUGGAUAUGUAGGAACCACACCCAAGCAUGGAGCAAAUGUGGUCAACAGUGGGGCAUACGAUCACAACGGAGCUGAAGCAUUCCUGUCCUCUAAUGACACUGUAGCCAUCACAGGUGUGGCAGAGCACAUCUCCAUGUGUCUGUGACGACCUUGGUAUCAAGAGGCCUACUACAUGUGUUGCUGGUUUGUGUCUGCAGGACGGUGCUUUUCCUCGUGAUUUUAGGGUAUACGGUGUAUUAAAAGCUUCACUUCAAAGCGUGUGCCAUGGGGAAUGGCCAGAUCUAUCCAGGGUUUACAGUGUCCGUGGUGGCAUUGUCCCCUCUGUGCUCCAUCUAAUCUGGUAGUGUUUUGCUCAUCAUGGGCCUCAGAGCAGCAGGCUCUGCCACACGGAUCUCCCAUAGCCAGAUGUGUGUGUGGUAAGGUUACCAGCUUAGUGUGUCUAAGUGCACUGUGAUCACACAAUGACAGAACCUUCCAAUAGUGUGUCUCUCAGAACGUGUCCCCAGAGCUAAGUGACAUGUGACUGUAGUGUUAGACCACCCACAAUAUCCCACUGAUCACAAAAUAAGAGGCAGCCACAUGUACAAGGAAAUAGGUGAGGCUCGUUUGGGGCCAACACUUCAUUCCUGACUCUGGAGUCCUAAUCCAGUAAGAGGGAUGCUACAGGCUUGGCACAGUGUGUGCCUGUCCCAGUGUCCUAGCACUGGGGAGAUGGGGGCAGAAGGAUCAGCCUAGGCUACACAGAAAGACCUUAUCUCAAAAGCAAAAAUAUCCUGGAAUGAUGGCUCAGCAGUUAAGAGCACUUGUGGCUCUUGCAGAGGACCCAGGUUAGGUUUCCCCAGCUCCCCGGGGGUGGCUCACAUCGCUUGUGACUUCAUUUCCAAGGAUCUGACGCCCUGUAGCUUCUUCUUGAACACCAGGCAUGCACACAAUGCGCGUACAUGCAUUUAAGCAAAACACUC
ensembl:lncRNA